AAUCCGCGUCAGCUUCAUGGUGACCUGCCGGCGUUCCGCCGUCCGGGUUGAAACGGGAAGCCGGUGACGCGCGUAUGCGCCAGCCCGGCACUGCCCCCGCAACGGUAAGCGUGUUCAAGGCAUCGCAUCCGCCACUGUGCUCCGGUAUGGGAAGGCGCGACGCCCGGGAGAACUCCCACGCGCGAGUCCGGAGACCGGCCACGAAGUCUUCCUCGAUU
rnacentral:ncRNA from 1 species